UACAGAGGGGGCAAGCGUUGUUCGGAAUUACUGGGCGUAAAGGGCGCGUAGGCGGCCUGUUAAGUCGAACGUGAAAUCCCUGGGCUCAACCCAGGAACUGCGUCCGAUACUGGCAGGCUUGAAUUCGGGAGAGGGAUGCGGAAUUCCAGGUGUAGCGGUGAAAUGCGUAGAUAUCUGGAGGAACACCGUGGCGAGGACGGCGAUCCUGGACCGAUAUUGACGCUGAGGCGCGAAAGCCAGGGGAGCAAACGGG
rnacentral:rRNA from 1 species